rnacentral:lncRNA from 1 species
UGAGUGAUUUCAACUUGAAGGACACCUCCACAUAAGAUACAAUAAACAUUCACAUGCAAACAAGAGAGAGGAUCUUCUUCAGCCAAAAGUUCACACAUAAGAAAUCUAGUUUGGCUUGAAGAAUAUAUAUAAUAAAUAGGUAAUUAUAGAUACCUUUCUCACAAAUUAAUUGAGCAAAGUCAAUAACUUAAAUCUUAUGAUGGCAUGAUUAAAUUCUUUAAUUAUUAAUUUUUGAUAUCAUGUCUAUAUGUGUAUUGACUGACUUAUACUUUUAGAAACUGUUUCAUGGUUUGUCCAAACUAAAUGAUUUCUUAGCCUAUAUCAUAACCAUGAAAUACACAAGUAUAUGCUUAAAAUUUUGGAUGUAAAAUAACUUGUGAGAAGUUAUGAAUCCAUGAGCAUAAUGAAAAUGUUGUUUGCAUGAUAUACAUAUAUAUGAUACAUAAGAUUAAUUCUUUAUUCUGCUCUUUCAUGUAAAUUACUUGAGAAUAACAAAAAGAGAGAGAGAUAAAGAAAAGAAAAUGGAUAUUAUUCAAGAGAAGUAAAAUCUAAGUAAAGG